CACGCUGUAAACGUUGAGAACUAGAUAUGGUGGGGCUGGCCCCCUCCGUGUCCAAGCAAACGCGAUAAGUUCUCCGCCUGGGGACUACGGCCGCAAGGCUAAAACUCAAAGGAAUUGACGGGGGCCCGCACAAGCGGUGGAGCAUGUUGCUUAAUUCGAGGCAACGCGAAGAACCUUACCCAGGUUUGACAUGCAUAGGACUGGUGGUGAAAGCCUCCUUCCCUUCGGGGCUUAUGCACAGAUGC
rnacentral:rRNA from 1 species